CUGCCGACUGAAGCACACCUCUCUUUGCCUCUCUUUGUGCUGCUGCUAACUUUGAAGUUUUUUGUUUAAUUUUUUUAUUUAUACAUUUGCUUUCAAUCUAUCUUUUAGUCUGUAUGCAUUUGUCCUCUCUUCUUUACAAAGUUUUGCUUGAUUUUCUUUGAAACACCUGACUUCAAAAGCCUGGGCUCUUGUGAGAAGACCUGUGAAGGUGACAAAAAAACCCUUUUAAGGAAAGCACCUGCCUUGGGUUUGAGGGAAUGAACUUCCUCUUGUUGUCCACAGGGGGCGUGGUUCCACAGACCUGGUGCUGGCUGGUUGUAACAGCAACUCCAUGUGGAAGGUUUGUGUCUUCCAGUGGAGCUGCUGUUGCGUGCAGAUAGUCACCCUUAUUUGUCCUCGUGAGAAUAUGCAGUGCUGAUUUUUAAAACAGAUUUAAAGAUUGACACCUAACACCUUGUAAAUGUACAUCUACUAGCAGAAAGCUUGUUUAACCCAGUGUCUAGGACACAGGGUGAUGACCUAUGAAUUGACAGCCAGUGUUUGCACUACAGCUGCCUGUCAGUUCUGUAGGCCACUGCCCUGUUUGCCCUGCUAAACACACACUGAUUUGUACCCCAUGAAGAGAAUGCAGGAAACGUGUAUUUGACUCAUAUUUGUGUAAAUGAACGUACAAAUGGGCUGAAGAAAUGAAAAACAACCUGAAGCAUUAAUAAGGAAAUAUACAUUUGGGUGCAUGUUAUACAAUUAUUCUACAUGCAGUAUUGUUGUAUUUAAUUGUGGUGGAACAUUAAAUGACUUUAAAGUUGUUGUCAGUUACUGACUAUUAAAUACAUUUUUCUCAAUAAUUGUGAUUAAGUAAGUUAUUUGUUGUAUUUACUUAUUUUAUAACCUUUUUUUAAACAUUUUUACAAUAUUGUUAUAAAUUAAAAUGAUCUCAGCCUUA